GGUGCCGCCUGCGGACCCCCCUCCCGGCCCUGCCCUCACGGGCGGAGCGCCCGCCGGAGGAUACCAAACUCUAUUUUAACGACGUUUCUUCUGAGUGGCACAAGCAAAUAAUUAAAACUUUCAACAACGGAUCUCUUGGUUCUGGCAUCGAUGAAGAACGCAGCGAAAUGCGAUAAGUAAUGUGAAUUGCAGAAUUCAGUGAAUCAUCGAAUCUUUGAACGCACAUUGCGCCCGCCAGCAUUCUGGCGGGCAUGCCUGUUCGAGCGUCAUUUCAACCCUCAAGCUCUGCUUGGUGUUGGGGCCCUACGGUUGACGUAGGCCCUUAAAGGUAGUGGCGGACCCUCUCGGAGCCUCCUUUGCGUAGUAACUAACGUCUCGCACUGGGAUUCGGAGGGACUCUUGCCGUAAAACCCCCAAAUUUUUAAAGGUUGACCUCGGAUCAGGUAGGAAUACCCGCUGA
rnacentral:rRNA from 1 species